rnacentral:lncRNA from 1 species
UUUCUUUUCUAGAGAUUGAUAAUUUUCUAAUGAUAAAUUUUGUAAAACAAUAAGAAGGGUAUAAAAUGUUUAUAUUAGUUCGUCCUCACUCUUAAGGCUACAUCCAAUUAUCCUUUAUAAGGGUUAUACUACGAUAAAAAAAAAUUACAGCCAAAUAGACAACAUUACUUUUUGUAAGCACAAGUACACAAAGUUAUUCUUGACUAUUUCAUCCUAAUGUCCCCCUAAGACUAACACCUCCACUCCAUUCUUCUCCUAUCCAACACCCCCAACACCUCCACUCCUCUGAAAAAUCUCAUGUACCGCUUUUUCUCAUUCUUUUCCUCUCUCUCUUGAAUGUCCUCCCAAUACUUAUUGACUUCUCAAGCUCUCAAUCAUUUAAACUAAUGAAACCACAUCUUGAACCUCCAGAUCACCAUCCUUAUGUUAUCAUAUCCCCAGAUUAAGAUGCAUUUGAUAAUCAAAAACUCCUUCUUAUAUACAUAUUCAGAAGUUACCUGCCUUACGCAAGUAGUUCUCCCAUCUAACCUACACCCUUCAAAAUUGCACCUUACCUAACCCCAUCACCACUCAUUCUCUCUUAUCCUUCUUCAUGGUCCCUCUCUUCCUCUUCUUUUCUUCUUUUCCACCAUAUUUCUCCUGCAUCAUCAUCAUGUUCUACCAUGAUCUAUCAGUGAUGAUGUCUAGGAGCAAUCCUCUCCUCUGUCGAGCGAUGAUGUUGUCUCUUCUUCUCCUUUCACCUCUUUUGUUAUUUAUCAAAUAAGGGGGAGAAAAGACAUAGACAAAGAUAGACACACCAACAUCUAAUAGCAUGUACUUAAAGGGAGUAUACUAGAGGAUAAGAUAUAAUAGGAUAACACAGAAUCAGAGGGAGUCUACAGAUUGUUAGAAGUUCUUAUGCAUAACACUAUACACAUUCAUGUUAAUGUAACAUGUUUAUGUUUAUGUGUUUAAAUAUUAGUCUUUUACAUAUAUUACGCUCUGAUUAUUUAUCGUGCUUUGAUUAUUUGUUUCAAC